AUAUUAUAUACAAAAAGCAAUCAGAUUGAACAGGUUUUCAAAUCAAUCAGAUUGAACAGAGGCUUUCUUUUAGCUUCGAAUAAAAACAGAAACAGGUUGGGGCUUUUAGGUUCGAAAAAAAACAGAAAAGGGUUCUGUACAGAUUGAGUUUCAAAAUUAACAAAGUGAAAACGAAGUCGAAGGCUCUCACCAGCAUUUGCAGACGGAGACGAUGGAGACGACGGAUUAGUUGCAGACGGAAACGAUAGAGACGACAGACGGACGGAGCAAUUGCAGACAACAAGUCUGAUUUCUGAGGUGAAGCUCUCUGGAUCAGUUAGUGGCGUAUACUGGACUUCUUUGCUUAUGGCGUCUCCUUUGGCUCUUGGAGACAUCGAAAUUGACAUUGUCAAUAGACUCGUUUCUAGUCCUUUUGUGGAGAUGACUUUGAAAGUGAUGGAACACUUUGGUGUCACAUUGCAACAUAACGAUAUUUUAGAUUGAUUUUUCGUCCAAGGCGGUCAAAAGUACAAAGUAUGUUUUAUUUAGCCGAACCGCUGUGAGAAAUAUUGUUUUCUUGUGUGUAACAAAAUAAAAAGAAUAUACCAGGUCUCCUGGGAAUGCUUUUGUCGAAGGUGAUGCUUCGAGUGCAAGUUACUUCCUAGCUGGUGCUGCUGUCAUCAGAGGAACUGUCACUGUUGAGGGCUGUGGUAUUUUGCACACACCAAUAUAUUUUUGUUUAAUUCAGCGUAUGCAUAAAACAAAUUUCAGAUUGAACAUAUUUAGAUGUUUUCGAAUAAUUUAUUUCCAAAUUCGUAGUUACAACUAUCUAUUAGACGAUUUGUGAAAAUAGUUGUGAAUUAUGCAUACAAAAUUCAAGUAAUCUAAUGACUUUCCUCGUACUUGAUAUUCCUAAACCUUUUCUCUAACAUUUUCGGACGUAAAAAUUUCAGCCGGAGCAACGGUUGAAGAAGGAUCAGAUUACUGCAUGAUCAUACCGCCGGAAAAACUAAAUGUGACAUGAAUGAACAUGUACAACGACCACAGACAGGCCAUGGCAUUCUCUCUCGCUGCAUGUGGAGAUGUUCCGGUUACCAUCAAGGAUCCCGGUUGUACCAGUAAAACAUUCCCUGGUUGCUUUCAAGUCCUUGGGAAGUUUACCAAGCAUUGGACAAAGCAAUGCAGAUGUAAUUUUGGAUGCUUACAUUUUUCAAGUAGAGCACAUUAAUUAGUUUUUCUAAGA